GCAUUCUUGUGCUGUAGUUUCAAAGCCACAUAGAGAAGAGAGAUCAUUAAUUUCAAUGAUAGAUCCUAAAGAAAUAAAUCAUAAAGGGAUGAUGACCAGCAGCAGAUUCUAGAAUGGGAAUACCUUGUAAAUUUUACUCACAAUCAAAUAUGACUUGAAGCAGAAAGCCUUCCUGAGCUCCUCUGUCGGCUUCAACAAUGAAACAUGAAAAUUUAGUAAGCAGAUGAAUUUGAAUCCUGCAGGGUUAAGAAAGAGAUAUACUUGUUAUUCUCACCCAUUCCACACAACAUUCUCAUCUAACCUCAUCUUCUGUAGCCCAUAAAACUUCAUCGAAAAGAGCAUUAUAAAGAGGUGGCAAAAGUUGGAGAGGAAGAUUGGCGACACGCUGAGAGACCAAGAUACCUACAUCAUGUGCUUGCUCUGCCCAAAGUAAUCUCAAAUCAUCUAUUACAUUUCUGUCAAGACAAACUUUGAAGAGAAACUCCUUGAUCUCCAUGAUACAU
rnacentral:misc_RNA from 1 species